CGUGGAAAAAAAUUGGUUGAUUAUAAAGGGAAUCAUUGAAGCAUGACUGGAGCGAGCCCCCUCUUAGGUCAGUCAGCGGGCUCCCCCUUAGGAAAAGUUCUGGAUCCGCCACUGUAGAACUUAAUCCAGAGGAAAGUUAAAACAUUGCUUUAACUGUACUUUAUUAAAAUUGAACAUGUUGAAUAUAUAUAUAUCCAAUUUAAGUUAAUUAAAGCUGUAAUCCAUGAUCACAAAUUGAAUGCUAUGUUUACAAUUGUUGAAAGCCAUGUGCUUUUUUUGCGGGGAAAAUGCGGACCCCCUUAACAGGAAUCAGUUACAUUUCAUUGUUAUUUAUAGACAGUAAAAAUAAUUUUGGCAAUCAUUUUGACUAACUGCUAAGAUUUAAUUAUUCAUGAAAAAUUUUCUUCGGGUGAAACUGUUAAUACUUUAAUUAUCUACAUCUGCCACAGUAUUUUUCUAUCCAAUAUACAAGGAACAUUAGCUACAAAUUGGUCAUUGUACUUUCAAAUUAUAUACAUUUUACAGACUUAAGAGGUAUUGGGUGAAAGUAACGUAUAUUAUGUAUAUUCAUCAUUUAACACCAUUUGAAUGCAUUUAAAUAAGUUGGUACGAGUUAGCAAUGGUACGAGUUUGCAUUGGUACAAGUUUUUUUUAGUGGUACGAGUUUACAAUGGUACAGGAUAACUAUAAUUCGAUAAAACACAAUAAGUACAUGGCUCAUACACUUGUAACGGGGAUUGGCUAUUCUUUAAGUUGAGUGACUAUUCAGAUUGUUACAUUUUGCAUGUGCAGUUGAAUUAGUUUAGAGAUUAAUACUAUCCAGCUGUACCAGGGUUACUGGCCAAAAAUGCUUGAGACUCCCGCAUGUUCAUAUUAUUUUGCGGCAGUAUUCUUGGAUCUAUUUUUUUCCUCUUUGAUCUUUUCAAUUUUGGCCAAAUCUCAUGCAUUUGUUUAAUGAAAAUUUGGCAGAACUGCUAUACAUGUGUCAAUGAAAACUAUGGCAAUCGUAUCCCUCAGAGCAUUCUGCUCUUUGAUUUUA
rnacentral:lncRNA from 1 species